rnacentral:rRNA from 1 species
AGCAGCCGCGGUAAUUCCAGCUCCAAUAGCGUAUAUUAAAGUUGUUGCAGUUAAAAAGCUCGUAGUUGAAUUUCGGGAUUAGUACGCUGGUCAUGCCUUUGGUAUGUACUGGUGUUACUGGUUCCUACCUUCUGAAGAACCGUCAUGUCGUUAAUUUGGUGUGGCGGGGAAUCAGGACUGUUACUUUGAAAAAAUUAGAGUGUUUAAAGCAGGCUCGCGCUUGAAUACAUUAGCAUGGAAUAAUGAAAUAGGACGUUUGACCCUAUUUUGUUGGUUUCUAGGAUCGACGUAAUGAUUAAUAGGGAUAGUUGGGGGCAUUAGUAUUCAAUUGUCAGAGGUGAAAUUCUUGGAUUUAUUGAAGACUAACUACUGCGAAAGCAUUUGCCAAGGAUGUUUUCAUUAAUCAAGAACGAAAGUUAGGGGAUCGAAGACGAUCAGAUACCGUCGUAGUCUUAACCAUAAACUAUGCCGACUAGGGAUCGGAUGAUGUUAUUUUUAAUGACUCAUUCGGCGCCUUACG